AACGAACGCUGGCGGCAGGCUUAACACAUGCAAGUCGAGCGCCCCGCAAGGGGAGCGGCAGACGGGUGAGUAACGCGUGGGAAUCUACCCAUCUCUACGGAAUAACGCAUGGAAACGUGUGCUAAUACCGUAUACGUCCUUCGGGAGAAAGAUUUAUCGGAGAUGGAUGAGCCCGCGUUGGAUUAGCUAGUUGGUAGGGUAAAGGCCUACCAAGGCGACGAUCCAUAGCUGGUCUGAGAGGAUGAUCAGCCACACUGGGACUGAGACACGGCCCAGACUCCUACGGGAGGCAGCAGUGGGGAAUAUUGGACAAUGGGCGCAAGCCUGAUCCAGCCAUGCCGCGUGAGUGAUGAAGGCCCUAGGGUUGUAAAGCUCUUUCACCGGUGAAGAUAGUGACGGUAACCGGAGAAGAAGCCCCGGCUAACUUCGUGCCAGCCGCCGCAGUAACAC
rnacentral:rRNA from 1 species